rnacentral:rRNA from 1 species
CCAACAGGGAUUGCCUCAGUAACGGCGAGUGAAGCGGCAACAGCUCAAAUUUGAAAUCUGGCCCCCGGCCCGAGUUGUACUUUGCAGAGGAUGCUUCUGGCGCGGUGCCUUCCAAGUCCCCUGGAACGGGGCGCCGGAGAGGGUGAGAGCCCCGUACGGUCGGCCGCCAAGCCUGUGUGAAGCUCCUUCGACGAGUCGAGUAGUUUGGGAAUGCUGCUCUAAGCGGGAGGUAGACCCCUUCUAAAGCUAAAUACCGGCCAGAGACCGAUAGCGCACAAGUAGAGUGAUCGAAAGAUGAAAAGCACUUUGAAAAGAGGGUUAAACAGCACGUGAAAUUGUUGAAAGGGAAGCGCUCGUGCCCAGACGUGCGCUGGGGCGAUCAUCCGGCGUUCUCGCCGGUGCACUCGCCCCGGCGCAGGCCAGCGUCGGCUCGGGCGGGGGGACAAAGGCGCCUGGAACGUGGCCCCUCCGGGGGUGUUAUAGCCAGGCGUGCCAUGCCUCCGCCCGGGCCGAGGUCCGCGCCCUGCAAGGACGCUGGCGUAAUGGGCACCGGCGGCCCGUCUUGAAACACGGACCAAGGAGUCAAGGUCUUGCGCGAGUGUCUGGGUGCCAAACCCGCACGCGCAAUGAAAGUGAACGCAGGUGGGAGCUUCGGCGCACCACCGACCGAUCCUGAUGUUCUCGGAUGGAUUUGAGUAGGAGCGUAGGGCCUUGGACCCGAAAGAUGGUGAACUAUGCUUGGAUAGGGUGAAGCCAGAGGAAACUCUGGUGGAGGCUCGCAGCGGUUCUGACGUGCAAAUCGAUCGUCAAAUCUGAGCAUGGGGGCGAAAGACUAAUCGAACCAU